GCGGGCGUGGCGGAAUUGGCAGACGCGCCGGGUUUAGGUCCCGGUGAGCUUCGGCUCUUGGAGGUUCGACCCCUCUCGCCCGCAC
rnacentral:tRNA from 1 species